rnacentral:lncRNA from 1 species
UGGUUGUAGCUUUUUCCCUCAUCUGUCGUAGCUUUUCUCUUGUCCCCGUUGCAGAUAUGAAGCUCUGCCGCUCGUCGUGAUGCAUCGACAGUAGCAAUCCAAAGUGACGCUUCCAGCAAAAAGAAACAUCUCUUCCAGCAAAAAAGUGUGUUGUUCCAUCGUCGUAGCUCUGAAUAGCCCUAGUUUGAGGGAAAAAAAUUGUUGCUUCAAACAAAGCAAAAAAUCACUGCUUCUAGAAAAAAAAGUUGUUCGCAGCUUUGAAAGAAGUGUUCCAGCAAAAGAAAAUGCUGCUUCCAACAAAACAAAUCGCUGCUUCCAGCAAAAAAAUGGGCGUUGAAGCUCAGUCACACGCCGUACCUUUUCCAGCAAAAAAAACAUUGUUUCCAGCUCCUUCUUAGGCCGGUUCCAGCUCCGCCGCUUGUCGGUUGCAGCUUUGCCCCUUGCCGCUUGCAACUCCACCGUAGCCGAGGAACCACUCGCCAGUUGCGCGCGGGGGUACGCCAUCACCGGCGUCCACUCCAUCGUCUCCUCCUUCCUCGGGAGAUCUGCGCGAGCGUGGAGCACCCUGCCAUGGUUUCCUCUCACGUGGGUGGAAGGACAUGGCGCGUGGUGGCCCUCCCCCGCGAUUUGCCUUGGCAAGGGUAAAAGCCGGCCAUGGCUGCUCGCUGAUCUGGAGCAGGGGAAAGGGCCUGCCAG